UAGGGAAUCUUCGGCAAUGGACGAAAGUCUGACCGAGCAACGCCGCGUGAGUGAAGAAGGUUUUCGGAUCGUAAAACUUUGUUGUUAGAGAAGAACAAGGACGUUAGUAACUGAACGUCCCCUGACGGUAUCUAACCAGAAAGCCACGGCUAACUACGUGCCAGCAGCCGCGGUAAUACGUAGGUGGCAAGCGUUGUCCGGAUUUAUUGGGCGUAAAGCGAGCGCAGGCGGUUUCUUAAGUCUGAUGUGAAAGCCCCCGGCUCAACCGGGGAGGGUCAUUGGAAACUGGGAGACUUGAGUGCAGAAGAGGAGAGUGGAAUUCCAUGUGUAGCGGUGAAAUGCGUAGAUAUAUGGAGGAACACCAGUGGCGAAGGCGGCUCUCUGGUCUGUAACUGACGCUGAGGCUCGAAAGCGUGGGGAGCAAACAGG
rnacentral:rRNA from 1 species